rnacentral:misc_RNA from 1 species
AUAAAUAAAUAAAAUAAAAUAAAAGUAUAGGAAAAAUUACUAUUUAGUCCAUCUAUUUUAACAAAAAUAACUACUUAGUCCUCUUAUUUUGAAAAAUACAUUAUUAUUCUUUAGUACCUCCCGUCAUUUUAGGCAUUAGUUUGAAUUUCAUUCAAUCCUUAUAAUUUGAAAAACAAAACUAUAUAGUCUCUCUAUUUUCUAAGUCUAGAAUUAUUUAGUCUUCGUAACAAUAAUUUCUCUCUCCUUUAAAUACAUUGUGAUGCGGAGCAUUUUUUUAAUAUAAUUUAUUUUAUUUUGGAAUAGUUAUUACUAAUCCAAUUUCAAUUAGAGUUAGUUAUUUUCCUAUUUUAUCUAUAUUUCCUAUUGUAUUUAUGUUUAUCUAAAACUCCUAGAUAAUAGUAGUUUAUCUAAAAACUCCUAGGCAAUAAUUAUUUAUUCUAAUUAGUUUAGGACUAUCAAAACCUAUAAAUACCCUCUAUUAUAUUUAAAUUUUGUAACUUUAUUUAUUUCUUCAAUUUUCAA